rnacentral:rRNA from 1 species
GUGGGGAAUCUUGCGCAAUGGGCGAAAGCCUGACGCAGCCAUGCCGCGUGAAUGAUGAAGGUCUUAGGAUUGUAAAAUUCUUUCACCGGGGACGAUAAUGACGGUACCCGGAGAAGAAGCUCCGGCUAACUUCGUGCCAGCAGCCGCGGUAAUACGAAGGGGGCUAGCGUUGCUCGGAAUUACUGGGCGUAAAGGGCGCGUAGGCGGACAGCUUAGUCAGAGGUGAAAGCCCAGGGCUCAACCUUGGAAUUGCCUUUGAUACUGGCUGUCUUAAGUUUGGGAGAGGGGAGUGGAACUCCGAGUGUAGAGGUGAAAUUCGUAGAUAUUCGGAAGAACACCAGUGGCGAAGGCGACUCACUGGCCCAAUACUGACGCUGAGGCGCGAAAGCGUGGGGAGCAAACAGGAUUAGAUACCCUAGUAGUCC